CCUACGGGUGGCUGCAGUGAGGAAUAUUGGUCAAUGGACGAGAGUCUGAACCAGCCAAGUAGCGUGAAGGAUGACUGCCCUAUGGGUUGUAAACUUCUUUUAUAUGGGAAUAAAAUGUUUCACGUGUGGGAUUUUGUAUGUACCAUAUGAAUAAGGAUCGGCUAACGCCGUGCCAGCAGCCGCGGUAAUACGGAGGAUCCGAGCGUUUUCCGGAUUUAUUGGGUGUAAAGGGAGCGUAGGUGGAUUGUUAAGUCAGUUGUGAAAGUUUGCGGCUCAACCGUAAAAUUGCAGUUGAUACUGGCAGUCUUGAGUACAGUAGGGGUGGGCGGAAUUCGUGGUGUAGCGGUGAAAUGCUUAGAUAUCACGAAGAACUCCGAUUGCGAAGGCAGUUCACUGGACUGCAACUGACACUGAGGCUCGAAAGUGUGGGUAUCAAACAGGAUUAGAUACCCCUGUAGUC
rnacentral:rRNA from 1 species